UGAAUACGAGACGCUACGGCGUCGAAGCAGUCUAUGUCAUACUUCCAAGAAAAGCUCGCAAUGUCAUAAACAAAUAAUGCCUGUACCAUAACCGACACAGGUGGGUAGGUAGAGUAUACUAAGGGGCGCGAGAUAACUCUCUCUAAGGAACUCGGCAAAAUGACUCCGUAACUUCGGGAGAAGGAGUGCCUUAUUUAUAAGGUUGCAAUAACAAGAUCCAAGCAACUGUUUAUCAAAAACACAGGUCUCCGCUAAGUCGUAAGACGAUGUAUGGGGGCUGACGCCUGCCCAGUGCCAGAAGGUUAAAGAAGUUGGUUAGCAUUCGCGAAGCUGAUAACUGAAGCCUGGUGAACGGCGGCCGUAACUAUAACGGUCCUAAGGUAGCGAAAUUCCUUGUCGGGUAAGUUCCGACCCGCACGAAAGGCGUAAUGAUUUGGAUACUGUCUCGGAGAGGGGCUCGGUGAAAUAGACUUGUCUGUGAAGAUGCGGACUACCUGCACCUGGACAGAAAGACCCUAUGAAGCUUUACUGUAACUUGAAAUCGAAAUUGGACUUUAUUUGCGCAGCAUAGGUGGGAGGCGUUGAGAGUAUUCUUGCGGGAAUAUUGGAGCCAUCAGUGAGAUACCACUCUUGUAAUGUUAGAUUUCUAACUUUGGAUCAUUAUCUGGUCAAAGAACAGUUUCAGGCGGGCAGUUUGACUGGGGCGGUCGCCUCCCAAAUGGUAACGGAGGCGUACAAAGGUUUCCUCUGAACGGGUAGAAAUCGUAUCUAGAGUGUAAAGGCAUAAGGAAGCUUGACUGUGAGACCUACAAGUCGAGCAGGGACGAAAGUCGGUCUUAGUGAUCUGACGGUGCUGAGUGGAAAGGCCGUCACUCAACGGAUAAAGGUUACUCUAGGAUAACAGGCUGAUCUCCCCCAAGAGUUCACAUCGACGGGGAGGUUUGGCACCUCGAUGUCGGCUCAUCGCAUCCUGGGGCGGUAGUACGUCCCAAGGGUUGGGCUGUUCACCCAUGAAAGCGGUACGCGAGCUGGGUUCAGAACGUCGUGAGACAGUUCGGUCCAUAUCCGGUGUAGGCGUUAGAAUAUUGAGAGGAGCCUUCUUUAGUACGAGAGGACCGAGAAGGACAUACCUCUGGUGUACCAGUUAUCGUGCCAACGGUAAACGCUUGGUAGCUAUGUAUGGAGAGGAUAACCGCUGAAAGCAUCUAAGUGAGAAGCCCACCUCAAGAUAAG
rnacentral:rRNA from 1 species